rnacentral:rRNA from 1 species
GUGACUGCGUACCUUUUGUAUAAUGGGUCAGCGACUUAUAUUCUGUAGCAAGGUUAACCGAAUAGGGGAGCCGAAGGGAAACCGAGUCUUAACUGGGCGUUAAGUUGCAGGGUAUAGACCCGAAACCCGGUGAUCUAGCCAUGGGCAGGUUGAAGGUUGGGUAACACUAACUGGAGGACCGAACCGACUAAUGUUGAAAAAUUAGCGGAUGACUUGUGGCUGGGGGUGAAAGGCCAAUCAAACCGGGAGAUAGCUGGUUCUCCCCGAAAGCUAUUUAGGUAGCGCCUCGUGAAUUCAUCUCCGGGGGUAGAGCACUGUUUCGGCAAGGGGGUCAUCCCGACUUACCAACCCGAUGCAAACUGCGAAUACCGGAGAAUGUUAUCACGGGAGACACACGGCGGGUGCUAACGUCCGUCGUGAAGAGGGAAACAACCCAGACCGCCAGCUAAGGUCCCAAAGUCAUGGUUAAGUGGGAAACGAUGUGGGAAGGCCCAGACAGCCAGGAUGUUGGCUUAGAAGCAGCCAUCAUUUAAAGAAAGCGUAAUAGCUCACUGGUCGAGUCGGCCUGCGCGGAAGAUGUAACGGGGCUAAACCAUGCACCGAAGCUGCGGCAGCGACACUAUGUGUUGUUGGGUAGGGGAGCGUUCUGUAAGCCUGUGAAGGUGUACUGUGAGGUAUGCUGGAGGUAUCAGAAGUGCGAAUGCUGACAUAAGUAACGAUAAAGCGGGUGAAAAGCCCGCUCGCCGGAAGACCAAGGGUUCCUGUCCAACGUUAAUCGGGGCAGGGUGAGUCGACCCCUAAGGCGAGGCCGAAAGGCGUAGUCGAUGGGAAACAGGUUAAUAUUCCUGUACUUGGUGUUACUGCGAAGGGGGGACGGAGAAGGCUAUGUUGGCCGGGCGACGGUUGUCCCGGUUUAAGCGUGUAGGCUGGUUUUCCAGGCAAAUCCGGAAAAUCAAGGCUGAGGCGUGAUGACGAGGCACUACGGUGCUGAAGCAACAAAUGCCCUGCUUCCAGGAAAAGCCUCUAAGCAUCAGGUAACAUCAAAUCGUACCCCAAACCGACACAGGUGGUCAGGUAGAGAAUACCAAGGCGCUUGAGAGAACUCGGGUGAAGGAACUAGGCAAAAUGGUGCCGUAACUUCGGGAGAAGGCACGCUGAUAUGUAGGUGAAGCGACUUGCUCGUGGAGCUGAAAUCAGUCGAAGAUACCAGCUGGCUGCAACUGUUUAUUAAAAACACAGCACUGUGCAAACACGAAAGUGGACGUAUACGGUGUGACGCCUGCCCGGUGCCGGAAGGUUAAUUGAUGGGGUUAGCG